CCUACGGGAGGCUGCAGUGGGGAAUAUUGGACAAUGGGCGAAAGCCUGAUCCAGCCAUGCCGCGUGUGUGAAGAAGGCCUUCGGGUUGUAAAGCACUUUCAGUGGGGAAGAAAGCCUUGGGGCUAAUACCCUCGAGGAAGGACAUCACCCACAGAAGAAGCACCGGCUAACUCCGUGCCAGCAGCCGCGGUAAUACGGAGGGUGCGAGCGUUAAUCGGAAUUACUGGGCGUAAAGCGCGCGUAGGCGGUCUGAUAAGCCGGUUGUGAAAGCCCCGGGCUCAACCUGGGAACGGCAUCCGGAACUGUCAGGCUAGAGUGCAGGAGAGGAAGGUAGAAUUCCCGGUGUAGCGGUGAAAUGCGUAGAGAUCGGGAGGAAUACCAGUGGCGAAGGCGGCCUUCUGGAUUGACACUUACGCUGAGGUGCGAAAGCGUGGGUAGCAAACAGGAUUAGAUACCCGAGUAGUC
rnacentral:rRNA from 1 species